GCACCUGUAGCUCAGUUGGAUAGAGCGUCGGCUUGCGGAGCCAAAGGCCGGGGGUUCGAAUCCCUCCAGGUGCACCA
rnacentral:tRNA from 3 species